rnacentral:rRNA from 1 species
GACGAACGCUGGCGGCGUGCUUAACACAUGCAAGUCGAACGGAAAGGCCCUGCUUUUGUGGGGUGCUCGAGUGGCGAACGGGUGAGUAACACGUGAGUAACCUGCCCUUGACUUUGGGAUAACUUCAGGAAACUGUGGCUAAUACCGGAUAGGAGCUCCUGCUGCAUGGUGGGGGUUGGAAAGUUUCGGCGGUUGGGGAUGGACUCGCGGCUUAUCAGCUUGUUGGUGAGGUAGUGGCUUACCAAGGCUUUGACGGAUAGCCGGCCUGAGAGGGUGACCGGCGACACGAGGAGUGAGGGACGGCCCAGAAUCAUACGGGAGGCAAUAGUGGGAAAUAUUGCACAAUGGGCGGAAGCGUGAUGCAGCAACACAGCGAGCGGGAAGACGGCCUGCGGGUUGUGAACCGAUUUCGCCUGUGACGAAGAGAGAGUGACGGUAAUGAGUAAAGAAGCACCGGCUAACUACGUG